GAUGGAGAAGGCCGGGGUUGGCGUGGAGUGAGUCCGGAAGACGCUACUGAAGUCGCCAGAUCAGAAAGUUGAUGCCCAAAACAAAUGAGACUCGACAGAUCAGAAAGUUGAUGCUCAGAUUUGGAAGACGUCGACGCAGCUGGAGGGAAAGAGAGCCGCAAACCUUAGUUCUUCACAAUUAGUAGGGAUGGAGCCUUGAAUUCUAGAAUAACACAAAAAGCAAAACCCAGGAACAUAUUAUUGA
rnacentral:misc_RNA from 1 species